GAUCUGCGAUGGUGACAUCAAUAGGUCACCAUGUUGGCAGCUGUAUAAUCAGCAAUGAAAGCUGAAUAUUAUCACCAGAUAACCAAAUUAUGAAAUAUCUAUAUUAACUUCAAGAUUCAGGGCCAAUGAACCAGUAUCUGCCCUUACGAGAUUUAGCUGAAAGUGAAAUGCAAGGUGGUGAACGGCAUUCUAACAAGAGUGUGAAGAAAGAGAUAGAAGGCUGUCCGCUGCUGGAGGGGAAGAAAGGAGGGGAGGCUUUUUCAAGGCUCUGUGGCUCAGUGGACCUUCAAUAAAUUGGACCUUCAAUAAAUUAAUUGAAAAACA
ensembl:lncRNA novel transcript, antisense to TNFRSF11A